rnacentral:tRNA from 1 species
GGGGAAUUAGCUCAUUGUUAGAGCGCUGGCUAUGGAGCCAGAGGUAGGUGGUUCAAUUCCAUCAUUCCCCA